UCCAGAUCAGGACCACCAGUCAUGGCACAGAAAAUAACCAAGUAAAUGCCAGCUCUCAUGGCAGUGAUUGUGUGGAAGACGGAAUAAGGACCAGGUAUGUAUGUGACAAUCAUUCCUUCAAACUUGAUAAGCAAAGUAAAAUGCAUGAUUUACAACAACGGGAAUGAAUUCAUUGUGAAGGACAAUGAAAAUAGGACCAUAUCUUCUUACAGCAUGGAUUCUUCUAGAAGAAAUGACAGUUGCAAUGAACUUAUUUAUUUCAAUAAAGAUUGUGAUCAAUGACUGGAAAA